GUGAAGCUAAUUUAAGUUCAAAUGUAAAAGUAUAAAAUCAGACUGGCCAUCCAAGUUUAUUAUGCACUACUAGAAACUUUUUUAAUUAUCAACAGGACAAAGGGCCAGUAAUCCUAUUCUUAGUAUUCAUUUCAAAAAAUUCUCAGGAGGUAAUGCUUAUUGAAUGAGAAAAAGGAAGCAUCCAAUAAGCAGCAUAAAAGAGAUUGCAUGAACAUGCGCAUACACGACAAAAAUUAAAAUGGAAUAAAUUAACACCACGCAAGGUCUCAUAGACUCCAUCCUUAAAGCAAUAAUAGUAGCAGCCACUGCAGCCCUUGAAC
rnacentral:misc_RNA from 1 species